UAACCGAAAGGUUGGUGGUUCGAGC
rnacentral:piRNA from 8 species